rnacentral:rRNA from 1 species
GGAAGGGUGGCCCUUCGGGGAAGUUCCGAGACAGGUGCUGCAUGGCUGUCGUCAGCUCGUGCCGUGAGGUGUUGGGUUAAGUCCCGCAACGAGCGCAACCCUAUUGCCAGUUGCUACCAGGUAAUGCUGGGCACUCUGGUGAGACUGCCCCGGUUAACGGGGAGGAAGGUGGGGACGACGUCAAGUCAUCAUGGCCCUUACGCCUAGGGCUACACACGUACUACAAUGGCGCAUACAAAGGGCAGCGAUACCGCGAGGUGGAGCCAAUCCCAAAAAGUGCGUCCCAGUCCGGAUUGCAGUCUGCAACUCGACUGCAUGAAGUUGGAAUCGCUAGUAAUUCGAGAUCAGCAUGCUCGGGUGAAUGCGUUCCCGGGCCUU